UUAGUCAUAUAUGUAUACUUGCAUACCUCUGCUUUAUGUAGUGGUUGAACAUGUUUCAUUGAAUUGAUGAGUUUUGUACUUGUUUUGUUGUUAGAUGUUAAACCCUUGUAAUUGGGGAAUGUGAAAGAAUUAUAAUAGGGGAAUGGGGAUUGGGAAUUAAUAUCCGCCCGGUUGCCCCUGUUGCAUUCCCUAUUUGAUUGUUGGGAGUGAUUUAAAGUGAAAUGAGCCCUAGUCUAUAUAACUUCCACUUAUUUAAUCUAUGAAGUGUGCUAAGAUUGUGUCAUUAAUCAUUUUAAGAGCUAUUUAAUUUUCAUUAGUACAUUAUGAUUUUUGAUCUUUAUGAAAUUGAAAGGGCUUACAGGUAUAUAUAAGUUGCUAGGCGUCUCCUACCUCUCUACCAGCACUAUGAUUGCAGGGGAAGAGGCGUGAUACCUAUUGCUUUGGUAAUCUUUCAAGGGAGACUCUUGGGGAGACCUACCCCACACCCGCUAUUAUGACUGAUGUGGGCCAAAGCAAACUGGGAAAAGCUGGCGGGUCCACCUUAAAACCCUGGCUUCCACUUGAAUGUAAUGGGGAUUCAAACCUUGGUAGCAAGGAGAGGAGCAAUCUCCUUUACCACUAGGGCGGCCAUUGCGGUGAAUAUGGCGAUAUUAAACCUGAUAAUCUCUUGGUCACUGCUGCUGGUACAGUGAAGAUUGGGGACUUCAGUGUCAACCAGGUUUUUAAGCAUUUACUGAUGAUGUGUCGAUUUGUACAGCCACUUUAUGAGAUUUGGAGAAAAACAAUUGAUUUCACCGUUGAAGCUUCUGAAAAGCUGAAGCCAGUAGACUUUACCUGAGCAACCAUGCAAUACGGAGGGGUUACCAAUUCAUAUCCCUGUAGCAUUUUGAGUAGAUGCUACAAGAUGGAAACAAUUAGAUAUUGCAACAAGUUGAACGAGCACGAAACAGUUAAAAAUUCAGUGGGAGUUCGCUGUGCAGAAGUGAUAGAAAGCCUCUUUCAAAUGGCAAAUGCUCCGCCAAUCAAUGAGUUGAUUGAUUUAAAAGGAAAGGGCACAAUCAAAAAAAUGAGACUAUACCGCGUUCCUACGGUCUCACAUCAUGCCACCUCUGAUUGAGGGCGUGGCUAGCGCUAUCGGAGUUGUUGAUGCCUAAGCCGCCGGUGAUGAUGCGCCCGCUGGUGCUGCUCUUGCUAGUGGUCUUGCACCUCCUGCUGGUGACACUGCUCUCCCUCUUGGACAUCCGACGCUUCCCAUAUUGAUCACAUUUCAAUGCCUGGAUGGCCUUUUCGAUGAGCUGCCGCUAGAGCCUCUCGGACGACGAUUGCUUGUCCUCGCUCCAAAGACCUGACCGUGCCUGGAGCUCAUUAACACACUGAUGGUCAUGGUGUGAAGUAGGGAGGCAACUCUGAUCUCUGUCGGGGUUGAGGCAUGGCAGACAAGUAUCGAGUCAACACAUGUAGCCUAUGACAAGCUUGCUUGAGCUGCUGAAGCUGCACUAGUACAUUAUGCUUGUGUUCUAAUGUGGCACUAGUGGCUUUGAUUGAUGUUAGUCCUAAAACAGUAGCAAGACAACAGCAGAACAGCAGUAGCAAAAUAGCAGAACAUAGGAGCCAAACCCACUGAGAGACGGACGUCCGCCAUGUAAUUUUGGCCCAGUUCAACUCCAUUUCGGUCUGCUUCGCUUCGACUAUCCCACAUGCAGUAUGCUCGACGACCGUGGAAGUUAACCUUCAUGACUGGGACUUUACAAGACAUCCAGACGGAUGUCCGGGCGGACAUCCGGGCUGACGUCCAUGAAGAACGAAGUUUGGUUUUGGACAUCUGGGCGGGCAUCCCUCUACAAAAGUUGUGUCUAUCAGUAACGAGCAGUGAACUGAAAAGAAAUGUUUUUGCCAUCAUUCAACGGGCAAAACACACAUGGGUGACAAAGAAUCUCUGAGAAAUGAAUUAUAUGUCAUCUCUACCUAUCACCAUCCCAUCUCCUCAACGGGAAGAAGAGAUGGGUUCUAUCAGAACUUAACAGAGCACUGAAACUCUGUUAUAUACAAAGCCUUGUGAAGUGCAACAGGAGAUGAAACCAACAUACCAAAUAGAGACAUAAUGUGCUAAACAUUUGACCAUUCUUCAUCAUUCACAUAUUACUCAUCUCUCUAUACAUCUGAAGAUUAUUGUCUUUCAUCUAUUUUUCCUUCUCUUCAGAAAAAUUAUCUGUGAGCUUUAGCAUUAAGCAUAUACACCUUUGAGAGGUUUUUACUGAUACAACUCAGAACUUGAAUCUUUGUAUUAUUCCUUGAGAGAGUUUCUUUGUAGCUUUCUUUGAAAGCAAAAAUACCUUUUUCAAUCUUGUAAGAGUGUAAUAUACUCAGUGUUCUUGAAUCCUUGAGAGUGGUUGAGAAUCAUCUAAGGAUUUCAAGAUUUUGAAGACUUGGAAAGUCUUUGUAACGUCUGUGGAGGAUCGCUCCAUGUACAAGAGGUUGAUAGCACCCCUGUGAAGCUAGAAGAUUAGUAUAAAAUCUCAAGUGAAGCUUGAGGAGUGGAUGUAGGCUUGGUUGAAACUGAAUCACUAUAAAUCUGUUUGCCCUCUCUUCCCUAAUCUCCUUACAUUUUUGUCGCUGCUACAUUUCCUACUGUCAUGUGCCACUGAGUUAAUCAUCUCAUUCUUCACUAUUAUAACUAACUAUUGUAUGAGUUCUCACUGAUUGUGUUUGCAAUAAUCCAUUGGUAAUCUAUCUAGUUAUUAAUUUGAUAU